AGAGUUUGAUCCUGGCUCAGAUUGAACGCUAGCGGGAUGCCUUACACAUGCAAGUCGAACGGCAGGCGCGGGACUUCGGUCUGGCGGCGAGUGGCGAACGGGUGAGUAAUGUAUCGGAACGUGCCCAGGUAGCGGGGGACAACCAACUCGAAAAGAGUGGCUAAUACCGCAUACGGACCCUACGGGGAAAGGGGGGGAUCGCAAGACCUCUCACUAUUGGAGCGGCCGAUAUCGGAUUAGCUAGUUGGUGGGGUAAAGGCCUACCAAGGCGACGAUCCGUAGCUGGUUUGAGAGGACGACCAGCCACACUGGGACUGAGACACGGCCCAGACUCCUACGGGAGGCAGCAGGUGGGGUAAUUUUGGACAAUGGGGGAAACCCUGAUCCAGCCAUUCCGCGUGUGCGAUGAAGGCCUUCGGGUUGUAAAGCACUUUUGGCAGGAAAGAAAUCGUGUGGGUUAAUACCCUGCGCGGAUGACGGUACCUGCAGAAUAAGCACCGGCUAACUACGUG
rnacentral:rRNA from 1 species